rnacentral:rRNA from 1 species
AUUGAACGCUGGCGGCAGGCCUAACACAUGCAAGUCGAACGAGUGGCGGACGGGUGAGUAAUGUCUGGGAAAAUGCCUGAUGGAGGGGGAUAACUACUGGAAACGGUAGCUAAUACAGCAUACCAUCAGAAGUGCCCAGAUGGGAUUAUCUAGUUGGUGGGGUAACGGCUCACCAAGGCGACGAUCCCUAGCUGGUCUUAGAGGAUGACCAGCCACACUGGAACUGAGACACGGUCCAGACGCCUACGGGAGGCAGCAGUGGGGAAUAUUGCACAAUGGGCGCAAUCCUGCUGCAGCCAUGCCGCGUGUAUGAAGAAGGCCUUCGGGUUGUAAAGUACUUUCAGCGGGGAGGCGUUACCCGCAGAAGAAGCACCGGCUAACUCCGUGCCAGCAGCCGCGGUAAUAC